GUUAUAAUGCAGCCUAAAGUCCUAAUUAACUUUCAGCCAGUCCCAAGUCUGUUAAAUGCAGAGGGUAAC
rnacentral:ribozyme from 2 species